rnacentral:rRNA from 1 species
CCUGAACGCUGGCGGCGUGGCUAAGACAUGCAAGUCGUACGGGGCCGCAGGGCCCAGUGGCGAACGGGUGAGUAAUGAAUCGCUAAUGUGCCCCGGACUCAGGGAUAGCCGCUCGAAAGGGCGGGUAAUACCUGAUGACAUAACCCUGUCGCGUGGCAGGGUUCUCAAAGGUCCGCCGGUCUGGGAGCAGGCGAUUUCGUAUCAGCUAGUUGGUGAGGUAACGGCUCACCAAGGCGACGACGCGUAGCCGGACCGAGAGGUUGGCCGGCCACAUUGGGACUGAGACACUGCCCAGACUCCUACGGGGGGCUGCAGUAACGAAUCUUCCGCAAUGCACGAAAGUGUGACGGAGCGACGCCGCGUGUGGGACGAAGUCC